rnacentral:rRNA from 1 species
GACGAACGCUGGCGGCGUGCUUAACACAUGCAAGUCGAACGGAAAGGCCCUGCUUUUGUGGGGUGCCGGGGGGCGGAAGGGGUGAGUAACACGUGAGUAACCUGCCCUUGACUUUGGGAUAACUUCAGGAAACUGGGCCUAAUCCCGGAUCGGAGCUCCUCCUGCAGGGUGGGGGUUGGAAAUUUUGGGCGGUUGGGGUUGGAUUCGCGGCUUACCGGCUAGUUGGUGGGGUAGUGGUUUACCAAGCCUUUGACGGGUAGCCGGCCUGAGAGGGUGACCGGCCACAUUGGGACUGAGAUACGGCCCAGACUCCUACGGGAGGCAGCAGUGGGGAAUAUUGCACAAUGGGCGGAAGCCUGAUGCAGCAACGCCGCGUGCGGGAUGACGGCCUUCGGGUUGUAAACCGCUUUCGCCUGUGACGAAGCGUGAGUGACGGUAAUGGGUAAAGAAGCACCGGCUAACUACGUG